rnacentral:rRNA from 1 species
UUUAUGGAGAGUUUGAUCCUGGCUCAGGAUGAACGCUGGCGGCGUGCCUAAUACAUGCAAGUCGAGCGAACAGAUAAGGAGCUUGCUCCUUUGAAGUUAGCGGCGGACGGGUGAGUAACACGUGGGUAACCUACCUAUAAGACUGGAAUAACUUCGGGAAACCGGAGCUAAUGCCGGAUAACAUAUAGAACCGCAUGGU